AUUGAAGCACCAGUUCCCGUACAAUAAUCGAAGUUAAGCAACGUCGACUCUGGUCCGUACUUAGAUGGGUGACAGCUUGGAAAUACCGGGUGCUGUAAG